rnacentral:misc_RNA from 1 species
CUAAGGAGUUGUUGUUGUGGUGGAAUGUUGGCGUCCUGCCGUGUGGUGGGGUUGGGGGCAUGCUGUUGGGGUUCUGGGGUAUCACGUUGUGUGGUGGCCUGGUGCGGUGAUGCUGUGUCUGCUGUUGUGGUGGGUGUGGUGUUGGUUCGUGUGGUGGUUGAGAACUGUAUAGUGGAUGCGAGCAUCUUAUUUUUUGUGUGGCUUGUGUUGUGCAAG